UCACUACAUAUCUUUCUUUUUUAAUAAUGGUAUAGACUUUCAAAGCAUGCGUGAGCGACUACUAUUUUAUUUUCAUUAUUGGUUUGCUUCUUUUACUUUGGUAUAGUUUUCUACUUAUUCUUGUUCUUUAUAACGUGACAUGGACUAGUGAAGCUCCUCAAUACUUGGCUUUUGUAGGUUUUCAUAUUUCAACGUUGAUUUUUU
rnacentral:lncRNA from 1 species